AUUGAACGCUGGCGGCAGGCCUAACACAUGCAAGUCGAGCGCGAAAAUUCCUUCGGGGAUGAGUAGAGCGGCGGACGGGUGAGUAACGCGUAGGAAUCUGCCCGGUAGUGGGGGACAACAGUCGGAAACGACUGCUAAUACCGCAUACGCCCUAAGGGGGAAAGCAGGGGAUCUUCGGACCUUGCGCUAUCGGAUGAGCCUGCGUCGGAUUAGCUUGUUGGUGGGGUAAUGGCCUACCAAGGCGACGAUCCGUAGCUGGUCUGAGAGGAUGAUCAGCCACACUGGGACUGAGACACGGCCCAGACUCCUACGGGAGGCAGCAGUGGGGAAUAUUGGACAAUGGGGGAAACCCUGAUCCAGCCAUGCCGCGUGUGUGAAGAAGG
rnacentral:rRNA from 1 species